UCUUUCUCAGGCCUGUCGCAGUGCAGCGUCCCCACCCUCCCAGCGUCCUGUCUCUUAGCAACCAGAUGCCCUCCAGAGCCAGAACUCCACUCAGAAUGAUCGCCUCUGAGUCCAGAAGAAAGGGAAAAAUAGGGGAGAAAGAACUCAUAAAAGAAUGAAGUUGUUGGUGGCUUUGAUAUACCCGCUUAGCUCAGGGAGACGUCGCCUUGCUAAAGAUCCCAUGUUCUCCUUAUGGCAACCCAGUUUUCAAGUAACACUUUCACACAAACUGAAACUCAGUUAUAAUAGUGAUGAGCCAGCUUAAACUAUGAAGACAAGAACCCACACAGGACAGAUUGCAGAGCAGUAACAGAAAGAACCUGGGUUUUGAAGUUUACCUUGUGAAGCAAAGCUGCCUAACAGACCCUAGACUGCCUGCCUACCUCUGGACUGUUACAUGAGGAAAAGUAUUAAUAUUUUUUCUUCAUUCUGGUCUCUCGUGUUCCAUUGGAGAUAUUGAGUUUCCCAGUUAACUUCAAUCAGAAGCAGAAGUGAAUUCUUUACAAUUAAGCCCUGAUCAGAUUUGGCCUGCGGAAUUUACAGAUUAACAAGGAAUGAAUUCAUAAAGGUUACCAUAAAUGUGAAGAGGCCAGAUACUAUGUGUGAGAGUCAGCACAAGCAACAAGCAUUUUAACUUCGAAGGACUGGAGGAUCUGGAGUUCUUGUCAACACUAACAGAGCAUACUUGAACAUGCAAAUACUACAUACAUGAAAAAUUAACCAGAUUGCAGCACAAAGAGGUGAAAAAUAUGAAAGACAAAGACAUGAAGGGUAGAAUGAGGACUGAACAUAUGUCUAAUAUGAAUUCUACAGAGGACAGAAGAUAAUUGUAAAAUUUCCAGAAUUGAUUAAAGAUGCAUCCAAAGAUCCACAGAUCCUAAAAUCAAAUGUAUGUUGUACAAUAAAUAAAAUGAAGCUGCUGGCGGCAAUUACAGUAUCAAUUCUAAUUACGCCAUCUAAAAAGCAUAUGUUAUCUAAAUGAUUUGGAGUCUUUUGUCAGUGGUGUAGUUUCCAACUGAAGCUUAAUAAAGCUGGCUUUAAACUAAGAUUUCCUUAAGUAUGCUAGGUUAUGAAUGUAUUAUUGGUGUUUAAAAAUCAACCAAAUUUAAACUACACAAAAUUUAAAUAAUAAAGGGCAUAUAGUUUGAUGUUUCUAUGUAUUUAAAUCUUUAUUACUGUCUAUCAGUAGUAUAAAGAACAAAACACUGAUGAACUAUAAAUAUCUAGGGAUUGCUAGUAGUUAUGAAUUUAAGCCAUUAAUUUAUCUCGAACUGAUUUUGUUUACUAUUAACAUUACUGUUAAUUUCAUAACAGUCAUUUAUGCUCUUUUUAGAGUGAAACUUUUUGCCAUUAAUGAGAGUAUUAGGAACAGGCAAUUACUACUACAAUUUAUCCACUCACUCUUUCCAUAUAAUUGAAUGCCUAAAUUGUCCAGGAACUGUUUUCAAGUAUGGGGAUGCAGGAGGAUACAUAAUAUCUGCUGCAAAGGGAAAAAAAAAAAAAAAAAAGCAGGAGGAUAAGGGAAUGCAGAGGGGGACAAAGGGUUGCAGGUUAAAAUAGGUGACAAGGACAGGCUCACUGAGAAGACGACUUUUGGGCAAUAACCAGAAAGGUACAGAGGACCAUGAGGAUAUCCAAGAGAAAAGUGCUCCAGACACAAGAAAAACAAUGUUCAAAGCUCCUAUGGGAAACAUGCCUGAAGUAUUCAAAUAACUACAAGUGUGGCCAAUGUGACUCUUGGGAGGGAAGCAGAAGGCAAAGACUAGAGGGUCAGAUAGCAUAACACCGUGUGAACCAAUAUAAGGACUUUUGAGUUUUUACUGAGUCAAAUAUGAAGCCACUGAAGGGUUUUCAGCAGAGGAGUGUAAUGAUUAAGAUUUUUUAAAAACAGGAUCACUCUGUUCCACUCUUGACAACAGACUAUAGGUCUGGUGAGGUAAAGGCAGGAGCAGAGCCAAAAGGCGAUAAUCUAGGCAAGCAAUGAUGCGGCUUAGACCAGACAGCAGGCAGUGGAGGAUGGAGUACCUGAAUGCAAAAUCUAUUUUAAAGUUAAUACGAGUGGGAUUUCCUGAUAAAUAUGGGGUAUUAAUGAAAAAGAGAAACAUAGGAUUCCAAAAUUUUUGGCCUAAGCAAAAAGAAAGAUGGAGUUGUCAUUUACUGACACAGAAUGGAAGAGAAAUAGGUUUUGAAAGAAAAAUCAGGAUUUUUAAGCAUGCUAAACCUAAGAUGCCUAGAAAAUACCAAGUGGAGAUAGUGAAGUGCAGGUAGAUAUAUGAUUUUGGAGUUCAGAUAAAAGAAGAGAUACAAACUCUAGAAUCAAAACAUAUGGUAUCAUGUCAGUAGACUGGUUAAGCUCAUCAGGGAAGUGAGUAAGUUUACAGUAGUGGUCCAAGGUCUAGACCCUGAGGCCAUUCAAUAUUUAGAGGUAGGGGAUAUGAAGAGACAUCAGCAAUGAAGACUGAAAAAGAAGAGAUUAGUGAUAGUGCAGGGAAAGCAGAAGAGUAUGGUGUCCUGGAAGCCAAGGUGGGGAAAAAAAAAAAAAGAUUUUCAAGCAGGAGGAAAUAAUCAUCUGUGCCCCUGUAAGUCAGGUAGAACAAAGACACAGAACUGGUCACUGGAAGCAGUGUAAUGGUUACUAGUGACCUCAACAAGAGUUUCUUUGAUGGGGGUGGUGAUGGUGGGAAAAACCUCUUAAUGAAUUGAGUUCAACACAGAACAGGGGGAGGUCGGUGGGGUGGGCAGCACUAUGGACAAGUCUGUCAAGGGUACAUAAAACAUGAUUAGAGAAAACUAGUUUGUUUUCUAGUUAAAUACAAGAGAUUAAUUAUUUACCUUAUUCUCUUCUCCCUUCAAAAUCUCCCCCAAAAUGACAAUAAAAGAAUGAGAGGUAUUAAAUCAAGUCAAAGCAUAAAAGAGAAGACAACAAUGAGACUUUUAGAAGGAGUAAAAAAGCAAAUGAAUGUGAGGUAACUGACUUAGCAGAGGUGAUUAUACCUAAGACUGGGAUUCUGACAGCUGUUUACACUGCAGAACUCUUGAAAGGCCCAGCAUGAAAGCAUUAGGCACCACAACUUGUAGCCAGGUACAGUACACAGAAACGAGGCAAAUAAAAAAGGCAAUGGCAAUACCAGGAAAACCAGAAAGUUAUAUGUGAAAUGAACAACAGGGAAGAAAGAAAUAAUAUUUACACAGUCACAAUAAUGCAAACAUUUUCAGUGACGUGACUAAAAAUUAGACCACAAGGAGAUCAAAAGGAGAUCAAACCAGUCAAUCCUAAAGGAAACCAGUCCUGAAUA